AGUCACUGACAUUAGGAUACCCGGGUAGUCCCAGCCGUAAACAAUGUGCGUUAGGUGUGUCGGUAACCACGCGUUACUGAUGCGCCGAAGAGAAAUCGUGAAACGCACCACCUGGGAAGUACGGUCGCAAGGCUGAAACUUAAAGGAAUUGGCGGGGGAGCACCACAACAGGUGGAGCCUGCGGUUUAAUUGGAUUCAACGCCGGACAUCUCACCGGAUAAGACAGCUGAAUGAUUGUCAAUCUGAAGGUUUUACAUGACUAGCUG
rnacentral:rRNA from 1 species